CCCCAACUCCUACGGGAGGCAGCAGUGAGGAAUAUUGGUCAAUGGGCGCGAGCCUGAACCAGCCAAGUAGCGUGAAGGAUGACUGCCCUACGGGUUGUAAACUUCUUUUAUAAAGGAAUAAAGUGAGGCACGUGUGCCUUUUUGUAUGUACUUUAUGAAUAAGGAUCGGCUAACUCCGUGCCAGCAGUCGCGGUAAUACGGAGGAUCCGAGCGUUAUCCGGAUUUAUUGGGUUUAAAGGGAGCGUAGAUGGGUUGUUAAGUCAGUUGUGAAAGUUUGCGGCUCAACCGUAAAAUUGCAAUUGAUACUGGCAGUCUUGAGUACAGUUGAGGUAGGCGGAAUUCGUGGUGUAGCGGUGAAAUGCAUAGAUAUCACGCAGAACUCCGAUUGCGAAGGCAGCAUUCCGGCGCUCAACUGACGCUCAUGCACGAAAGCGUGGGUAUCGAACAGGAUUAGAUACCCUCGUAAC
rnacentral:rRNA from 1 species